rnacentral:rRNA from 1 species
AUUGAACGCUGGCGGCAUGCCUUACACAUGCAAGUCGAACGGCAGCACGGGGCAACCUGGUGGCGAGUGGCGAACGGGUGAGUAAUGCAUCGGAACGUACCUUUCAGUGGGGGAUAACGUAGCGAAAGUUACGCUAAUACCGCAUAUUCUGUGAGCAGGAAAGCAGGGGAUCGCAAGACCUUGCGCUGAUUGAGCGGCCGAUGUCAGAUUAGAUAGUUGGUGAGGUAAAGGCUCACCAAGGCGACGAUCUGUAGCGGGUCUGAGAGGAUGAUCCGCCACACUGGAACUGAGACACGGUCCAGACUCCUACGGGAGGCAGCAGUGGGGAAUUUUGGACAAUGGGGGCAACCCUGAUCCAGCCAUGCCGCGUGAGUGAAGAAAGCCUUCGGGUUGUAAAGCUCUUUCGGCCGGGAAGAAAUCGCACGGGCUAAUACCCUGUGUGGAUGACGGUACCGGAAUAAGAAGCACCGGCUAACUACGUGCCAGCAGCCGCGGUAACAC